AUUCUUUUCAAAUUACUUAAAGACACACUUCAGUUGACUGAAAGGCAGAGCAAAAAGGAAGUAUGGAGAAGUCGUGUCAAGAAAAGACCAGCAGGGAAUCUUAAACAGUGAAAACAGAAACACAUUAAUACUGUUCUCAAAAAUACAGGUUAUCACGUAACACACACUUUUAAUUUUUGCUUUUGAAUUACUUUAUAUGACAUAGGACAUGACAAAUAAUUUACAUAAUGUGAAACUAACAAAUAAUGACAUAAUAUAAUUGAAUAGAAUAAACAUUAUAGAGUAAAAGCAAAAAAAUUAAUACUAAUUCAUGUCUGUAUUUCAAGAGAGUGAAAAGACAGGAAUAAGGGAGCUGAGAGGUAUCAAAGUGAUAAACGCAUUGCCUUAAGUAUGUGACACAUUACAGAUAUUUUAUUUUUGACUUUGACAUUAAAAAAAUAAGUCAAAAUGCAUUGGGAAAACUUAUGGGUAAAUAUUGGAACUAAAAGCCGUUACGAUGCCUUCCAAAAUAGAAGGCAGAAGAAAAAAAAUAGACAAAAAUAACAUUAAAACAUUAAAAAGAGAAAUAUUAAAAUAUGACAGAAAUAAGACCACCUAUAUAACUUUUUUUUUUUUUUUUGAAACAGAGUCUUACUCUGUUGCCCAGGCUGGAGUGCAGUGGUGGGAUCUCGGCUCACUGCAACCUCCACCUCCCGGGUUCAAGCGAUUCUCCUGCCUCAGCCUCUUGAGUAGCUGGGACUACAGGCGCCCGCCACCACGCCUGGCUAAUUUUUGUAUUUUUAGUAGAGACGGGGUUUCACCACGUUGGUCAGGCUGGUCUCGAUCUCUUGACCUCGCGAUCCACUCGCCUCAGCCUCCCAAAGUGCUGGGAUUACAGGCCUGAGCCACUGCGCCUGGCAGACCACCUAUAUUACUUUUAACCACAAAUGAAAUAGAUGACUUCUUAGAAAAACAUAAAAGCAGAGCUGUCUCAAAAACCAACAGAAUAUCUUCAUAGCCUGAAAACCGUAAAGAAAGCAGAUAAUGUGGUUACCACUGUCUCUCCAGUGAACUCUGGGUCACACACUUUUGGUUAAUUUAAAACACUAUAAAUUAUUCCAGAAUAUAUUAAAAGGUAGAAAAUUUUACAAGUUAUUUUACCGAGGUAGGAUAACCGUAAAUCUGACUAUGACAGUGUGUAAAAACUAUAGAGCAAUCUCAUUUAUAAAUACAAAUGUAAAAUCCUCUGCAAUGGUAUAUUAAAUACCCUCUGCAAUGGUACAUUAAAUACCCUCUGCAAUGGUAUAUUAAAUCUAUAACAAACAAAAAUAAACUCCACAGAAAUUUAGAAAUCAACUUAGUUUGUUUUUCAUAGUGAUCUGAGUGUUAAAAUUCUGUUAACUUUUAUUGUUGUACCUGGGGAUUGAGCAAGUGAGUAAAUAAUACUGUUGGAGAAGGGAGACACCAAUACAGAACCGAGGAAGACAAGGAAGAAGCCUGUGGGGUAGGAUGGGAUGGGAUGGGAAUUAGAGGUGUAUCAUACAUAUAAAUCAUGUAUCAAGGAAAAUUUCCUGCCCUGGGAUUAGGGGGAACUAGCAACAUGUGCUUGACUGGAUUUCAGAAUUGCUAUAAAUGAGUGACUGCUGCUUCCUUUUUCCCCGUUUGAAUGGAAGUGUCUAUAGUAGUUGUUCAGUCCCUGUUUCAUCACUGACUGUUGGCAGCAGGGAAGAAACAAUUUUUCAGCUCACAGGCCUCUAGUUCAAGAGGAGGUGCACCCAAGGAGCUGCACCCAAUAAACCAUACCUGAGGAGCCUAUUUCUUUUGUUUUCUUUCCUUUUUUUUUUUUUUUUUUUGAGGCAGGGUCUCUGUUGUCCAGGCUGGAGUGCAGUGGUGCAUUCUUGGCUCACUGCGACCUCUGCCUCCCAGGCUCAUCCUUCCACCUCAGCCUCCUGAGUAGCUGGGACUACAGGUGUGUGCCACCUUGCCCAGCUAAUUAAAAAGAUUUUUUUUUUUUUUUUUUUGUAGAGAUGAGGUUUUGCCAUGUUACCCAGGCUGGUCUUCAACUCCUGGACUCAAGCGAUCCACCUGCCUCGGCCUCCUAAAGUGCUGGGAUUUCAGGUGUGAGCCACUGUGCCCAGCCCGAAGAAGCUUUAUCUGAUCUGAACCUGAUUUAGAUAAGGAGGUCCUGGACUUUGUUCCAAUGCUGCAGAGAGUGAGACUUCUGUGGGGAGAGGAGUGUCCUUUGCAUUUGGGAAAGAUGUGAACUACUGUGGCCAGAGGGUGAACUAUGGUAGAUUGCUUCUAAAGAUGGGAGCAGCAAUGUUUCUUCCCAAGCAACAUUCUCCUUUGAAAUGUGACUUUGCCACCCAUCGCAUCAAGAGGGUCUUAGAUACAUGAUGGCACUGUUGGCUUCCUGAAGACCUCUUCAUCCUGCAGAAGGUGCAACUCCACAGCAUCCUGAGAGGUUGGACACAAGGUGAGCAGAGGGCAAAGCCCCUGGAAAUGGCCACCAUUCCUGUGGCUGCCACUGUCUUCCCUCAGGAAGGAUGGGCUCAGCCAUGAGGGUGGGACACCUCCCAGAGUGUCCAAGAUCCCCACAUGGGGUCUCCAGCAUUGGCCCUUCCCUCGCAUCAGUGGUAGCGGCAGGCGGGCAGCCUGAGGAAGGUGGUGUCACUGUUAAGUGUGGGCUCUCUUUUCCCUGUCUGAGCUGCUGGGAGCACAAAGGAACCCUGCCUGCCAGGCUUGAGUGUCAGAAUCUGGGCUUUCACCUGCAGGGACCUCAGGCCUCCAUCAGCCAGGCUUGGAAAGAAUGAAUGGUGCCUCUCGGUGAAUUACUACAACCUGAAUCCUGUGACCCCACCUGUGAUGGCCCAAUGUUAUUGAAAUUACUGACUCCAUCCACUUAGCAAGUGGUAAAUACUCUGCAGGCAUAGAUUUGACUAAUGUGUUCUGUUCAGCGCCUAUUUCAACAGAUCUCAGCUGCAGGUUGCUUUCACCCCCGAAGGGACACAAUAGACCGUUAUCUGGCUACCACGGGGUACCUCGACAGUUCUGCCACCAUACACAAUCUUUGCAGGCAGGAUUUGAACUGCAUCUGACAUUCUCUAGGAGUACAGGUGUAACAUCACCCUGAAGACACCCUUCUUUCAGCAAAUUCAUUUGACACACUCAGGACAUUACUCACAAAGAACUCAUAGAAAAGGAUGGGGUUUGUGUUUCCACAUGGUGGGAUUAAACUAAAACAAAAAAGUAUGGGCCACUGCCCCAGGCAUAGUACAGGGAUCCACACCAAUUUCUGGCCAUUGUCUGGUCAGUUGAGGGAUGCUCCAUCCCUGACACUGUCAAAAAAUAAUUAUUGACCCUCUGAGUACUCACAGUGUUCUAAUAAACCUCCCAGCAUCCUUCAGGCCUCUUGAGUUCAAGGAAACACAUCCUUCAUUUGUAGAUUUUAGGUAAGCCCAUUUACGCUGUUACUUGCAAAAUAAGCCCACUUUGAAUGGGGCCCCUUCUAACAAAAGGUUCUAGAAUCUGUCAAAUUGCAAUACAGCAGACAUUAGUGCCCUCCUGAGUCUCAUUCACUGUGGAAGCUUUGGCAACC
rnacentral:lncRNA from 1 species